GCCUCAAUAGCUCAGUGGUAGAGUGUUUGGUGAAAAUCAGAACAUGCAUUCAUUGUCACUAAUAGGCUAGGGUUCAAAUCCCUAUUGAGACU
rfam:Lentinula edodes NBRC 111202 DNA, contig: scaffold1512.